rnacentral:rRNA from 1 species
GACGAACGCUGGCGGCGUGCCUAAUACAUGCAAGUCGAGCGGAUGAUGAAGAAGCUUGCUUCUUCUGAUUUAGCGGCGGACGGGUGAGUAACACGUGGGCAACCUGCCCUGUAGAUUGGGAUAACUCCGGGAAACCGGGGCUAAUACCGAAUAAUCCAUUACCUCACAUGAGGAAAUGUUAAAAGACGGCAUCUCGCUGUCACUACAGGAUGGGCCCGCGGCGCAUUAGCUAGUUGGUGAGGUAACGGCUCACCAAGGCGACGAUGCGUAGCCGACCUGAGAGGGUGAUCGGCCACACUGGGACUGAGACACGGCCCAGACUCCUACGGGAGGCAGCAGUAGGGAAUCUUCCACAAUGGACGAAAGUCUGAUGGAGCAACGCCGCGUGAGUGAAGAAGGUUUUCGGAUCGUAAAACUCUGUUGUGAGGGAAGAACAAGUACGAGAGUAACUGCUCGUACCUUGACGGUACCUCAUUAGAAAGCCACGGCUAACUACGUGCCAGCCGCCGCGGUAA